AGCUUUGAGCAGUGGCAGUAUCGUAGCCAAUGAGGCACGAUUAUUGCUAAUUGAAAAGGAAGUAAAAGACCAUUACAUUGAAAAGUACAGUGCUCUAAGAAAGGAGAUUGAAGACAAU
rnacentral:snRNA from 1 species